rnacentral:rRNA from 1 species
AGAGUUUGAUCAUGGCUCAGGACGAACGCUGGCGGCGUGCUUUAGACAUGCAAGUCGAACGAGAUCUUCGGAUCUAGUGGCGAACGGCGGAGUAAUACAUAAACAACGUGCCCUGAAGACUGGGAUAUACGGUCGAAAGGCCGAGCAAUACCGGAUGUGGCCGAGACUAGGCAUCUAGACUCGAUUAAAUGGUUUUUCGCUUCAGGAGCGGUUUAUGACUCAUCAGCUAGUUGGUAGGGUAAUGGCCUACCAAGGCUACGACGGGUAGGGGGUCUGAGAGGAUGACCCCCCCGAGUGGGACUGAGACACGGCCCACACACCUACGGGUGGCAGCAGUUUGGAAUCUUGCCCAAUGGGGGAAACCCUGAGGCAGCGACGCCGCGUGGAGGAUGAAGGAUUUAGGUCUGUAAACUCCUUUUGCCAGGAAAGACUUAGGACGGUACCUGGCGAAUAAGCUCCGGCUAACUACGUG